AUGUUCCCUGGAUCGGUGGCUUGUGAAAUCUGGUUGGAUCGGAUAGGUGUUAAUUAUAUUAAAAAAUGUAAUUGUCGAACCAGGUGUAUACCAUGUUCUCGGGAUUGGUGGUAUGUUCCUUUGGGGAGACAAACUAAAAAAACUAUUAAUUGGUCGAGCCAGGUGUAUACCAUGUUCUCGGGAUCGGUGGUAUGUUCCUUUGGUGAGACUGAUAAAAUAUUAUCAUUACUUCCUUCAAAUUUAAUAAGUGGAUUUAAUUCAAGCUCCUUUUGUUCUCAGGAUCAUGCUCUCUUUAGGAACCUUUUGGCACAGUCAGCAUUUGAACUUGCUAAUCUUCGUUUAUCAUUGCAAAAGUUUAAAAUGGUCGAGUUUACUAGUGUCCUAUUGAUAUGUAGAAACUCUCAACCAUUAAUUUUCACUAGCAAAGUCCAAAGCAUGCACUGUUUAGAGAUCUACUUCACUUGA
rnacentral:rRNA from 1 species